rnacentral:lncRNA from 1 species
CCUUAUCUUGGCUGUUAAAAAAUUGCCCAUCCAAAAUCUUUAUACAUUUUUUUUGGGAAGCUGUUGAAAAACCUAUCACAGUUUCGAGGUCGGGAUAUGGUUUAGUUUAUAUAUAAAUAUGGUAACGUCUAAUUGUAUUUGGUCUAAUUUAUUUAUUUAUUUUGUCAGAAUAAAGUUGUUUUCUCCCACCAUUUAUGUGGCAAUGAGUUGAUUGAAUGAACAUGGAUAGGAAGGCGGGUGCAGUUGACUCGUCGCAUAUGGGCUUGACUAACACAAUUCGAUCAGUUUGCUGUGCUCAUCAAUGAAGUUGCGUUGCAACUCUUGUUUUUUAGUUUCUUUUUAAAUACCAUGUGAAUAUUAUUCAAACCUGGGGGCGUUUGAUGUUCCAACUUUUUUCAUGUGGUUUUCUUUUUGUUACAAACGAAAUUCUAAAUGAAAAAGAGUUUAAACUCGAAAUAUAGUAAAUAAAAGAAGAAGAUAAUAAUCACCAAGGUAAUCUACCACAUGCAUGUUAUAAACCUAAUGAAAAGCAAUUCACCCCACUUAAUUUAUUUUUGGCCACGUCCAAAUUUUUUGACGUAAGAAUUAUUUGUGUUGAAUUGGAUUCUCCUUCAUUCAAGAAAGAAAAAAAUUUCCUUGCCACACCAUCCACAGUAGGUACAUUUUAACUUAAGUUUGCUUUCUUAUAAUCCAUUGUGUUAAAGGGUUUGUCCUGAUGGCUUUAUUCCAAAAAAUAAUUAUAUAAACAAGUUGCAUUUGUUGAGAUUAGGACAAAUAAAACAUCAUGAGCAUGCAGAAAUGGUCCCAAAGACAUCAUGAGCAUGCAGAAAUGGCCCCAAAGAUUCCCGAGGCCCUCCAAUCCGCAUUUUGUUUUAUGGAAUUUUGUAGGGUAAAGUGCAUGGGUUUGGAAAAUGCGAAAUUUCUCUUCCUUUUUGUCUAUGAGUUGGAAGGUUCGGAUAUUGACGUGGGAAAUAAAACCAUGACAGCGAUCUGAAACUGAUCAUGAUUAAUGACUUGUAUAUCAAGUCAUCAUUUCACACGGGAAUUUUCUUGCAUCCCUUCAUGAACCUUCUCUUAAUUGUCUUCUCAUAUCCAAUGCAAAAUGUGGGAAAUAUGCUGGUGUUCGUUUCUCGCAAUAGCACUUUGUUAACAGGGAUGGAGUCGGAAAAGUAUACGAGUAUGUGUUGCGAGUAUUGUGAGUUUACACAAUAAAAUAAAAAAUCCAACAAUAUGUGAAUAUAAAAGUUGAAAUACUAAUUCAUAGUAUUUACUAUCUGGACGCGAACUUUACAUGUGAAUUAACUUUGUGUAAUUAAUGUUUUUAAUGAUGAAAUUUAAACAAUCUCAUUCAGUAUCAAGACACAGAAUCGUACUUUUGAUCAUGAUUUUCAUGUGGUUCACGACUGGCCAAGUUGAAUAUCGACAAAUGACAGCCAGAGUUAAUGCGUCCUCCACUAAUGUGGCCUAAUAAUUGUUUGUUUUGGGGCUACUACUUAACGUAGAGCCAAAAAUAAUCAUAAGACAAUACGUGGAUUUUUAGGUAAAAAUGAUAAAAUUACCCUCGAGGCACACCGGGAUUCCUACGCGCGAGCAGUAGACAAUCAUCCCUCAACCAAGUCAAAAGUGCCCAAAAUAGGUAAUAAUUCAAAACCUAUUUCAUUUAUCCUAAUCAAAUUCUCUCUACAAGGUAACUCUCAAAUCAUUCAUCUUUUAUUAUAUUAAUUACUAAUCAAUUAGAAAGUUAUUCUAUUAAUUAGCUAAUUAAUUGAUUUAUUAUUCAAUUAUUCCUAAUUAGCUAUCAAUCAUGAACCUCACCCAAAAUACCAACCAAGUGGCCGGUCCUCCUCCUCCUAAAUGGGUCGGCCACACCCCUAUAAAUACUACCUCAUUAUCUCCAAAACUCAAUUCCAAUUCUCUUGCUAAAUUCUCAAAAUUCUCCAAACACUUUUAUCUCAAAAUUCUAACGUUGGCAUCGAAGGUUCUUCGGCCAAACACCCCCCCCCCCGUUCAUCGUGGGCGCAUGAUGCUUUUGGCCUUGACCUAAGGUGUUAUUUGUUUUGUUGGUGCAAUUUUGUCCAAGAACAAUGAGGAAGAAAUUUGCAACCACGAAUUGGUGCUUUCAUUGAGAAUUGAGUCACACAUUCAUAGAAGACUCUCACAUCUAAAGUUUUUCGUUUUGUUGUUCAUUUGUAGAUUUUUCGUAUGUUCUUAUUCUUUGCUUUUUUAUUUCUAAAAAUUCUUUGGUAAAACAUAAAAGAAAAGUACAAUGGCAAGGGAUUCGGAAACCACAACGAAUGAAACUUCCUACGUUCCAAAAACCCGGAUCAAAUGAUGGAGGACGAGACGUAGCCCCACCAUAACGAUCCACGAGGCUCAAAUCGAUGGCAAGAUGAUCAACUUUACCACCACGGAGCACCACAACCAUGGCAGCCAUAAGGACCACCGUGGCAAUGGAGAGUGGGCCAGCUCCAUGGCAACAAGCCCACGGUGAGUAGCAAGC